UACGUAGGGGGCAAGCGUUGUCCGGAAUCAUUGGGCGUAAAGCGCGUGUAGGCGGCCCGGUAAGUCCGCUGUGAAAGUCGGGGGCUCAACCCUCGAAUGCCGGUGGAUACUGUCGGGCUAGAGUGCGGGAGAGGCGAGUGGAAUUCCGUGGUGAUAGCGGUGAAAUGACGCAGAUAUCAGGAGGAACACCAAUUGCGAAGGCAGCUCGCUGGAACGUAACUGACGCUGAGACGCGAAAGCGUGGGGAGCAAACAGG
rnacentral:rRNA from 1 species